GAGUUGGAAGCUCUGAAUAUAAUGUCCUGAGACUAAACUCUGAUGUUUUUUGAAAGUGUGUUUAUGUAAAUGCCAGGGAGAGGAACAGAGAUUAAAACUGCUGAGAUUAUGCCUGAAGCAAGAGCAAACAGACGGAUUUCAUUUUUAGGACACUGAAGAAAUGCAAAGUGGCCAUCUGCCAAAGGUUCCUGUGAGCUCUCAAACAGUACUGUGAGGUAAAACAAUCUUGUAAUUUAACCAGAGGGUGAGUAAUGCUGCUUCUGGCAGCUGCACAGGGGCUGGAAAUAUUUGCACAGCCUACACCUAUGGAUCUUCUCAGGAUCCUGUUGGCAGUGCUGCUGUGGAAAGGUCAGGUCCUGGUAGCUGGGCAGGGACCCAACUGUUGUGUUCUGGGGCUUCAGGAUCAAUGUUGUUCUGCUGUUGACAGAGAUUCCUCACCUGAGCAACACCCAACAGAAGCACCUGGAACCAUCCCAGGACCUUAGACUGGUACAGAGAUAUUGGCUGUGUCCUCCACAUCCAGAUCCCACAGGGACCAACAGGAACUAUUUUUUUGGCUCACAGAGCAAAAAAGCCAGCUUAUUUUUACCCAUAGUUAUGGCAGCUGCCUCUGAGUGUCCAUGAGUGCUCACCAGUAAGGAUGAAUCCCAGUUGGGGAUUCACAGCUGGCCUGAGAGCAUCUUUCUGCCCCCAGCACCUUGUUAAAAUGCAAAUCUCUUCCAGGUAAGUGAGAGGGACCGUGGUGUCACAGUGUGCAGUGGUGUCUUCGUUUGCCUGUGGGCUGAAGCAAGAAGCUUUUCCCAGGACUGUGGCUGCUUCUUCUGGAACUGCUCAGCUUUGCUUUGGUCCAGAACACCAGACCAUCAUUGGGAGCCCCACGCUGCAUCCCAGCUCUGGACCUUGGGAGAAGCCCAGCAGGACUCCAAAAGUCCACCAGUUUUCUCCACAAUGAGAAGGUUUAUUAUCUAACAUUAGUCUUUUUUUUUUCUUUCUUUCUUUUCUGUGUGCACUCUGCUUAUUAAAUAAUCGGGUUUUUUUUUUUUACUUUCCUCCAAGAAAUGAUUUUCAAACUGUUGGGGAGAGGCUGCCAAAACCUACCUUUCUUUAGAGGAGACACUCUUUCAGGAAGUUUCCUCCUAAUUUGUCUCAAAACCAAGACACUUCUCUUCACAAUGCCCCAGACCCUUUGUGUGCUUGCCUUUUGUCUCACACUGCUUUGGAAAGCUGCUGAAAGGGGAAAUGAGCUCAGUGCCCUGAACCAGCCAGCUCUGCUCCAUCCUUGCCUGGUCCUGUGUGCCCAAACCUGCCCCAAGACUGCCCUGCAGCCAGCUGGGGGCUGUGGCAGCUGAGGACACUGCACAGGGCCCUGGGGGAGAUGCUGCCCUCAGGAAAGGCAUCAAGCCCCACUCUCCCCUCUCACUCCCUGCACA